UACGAAGGGGGCUAGCGUUGUUCGGAUUCAUUGGGCGUAAAGGGCGUGUAGGCGGUUUGUUAAGUCAUGUGUGAAAUCCCUCGGCUCAACCGGGGAACGACGCAUGAAACUGGCAAGCUAGAGUACCAAAGAGGGGGUGGAAUUCCCGGUGUAGCGGUGAAAUGCGCAGAUAUCGGGAGGAACACCGGUGGCGAAGGCGGUUCUCUGGGCCUUACCUGACACUGAGGAGCGAAAGCGUGGGGAGCGAACAGG
rnacentral:rRNA from 1 species